CGACUCUCGGCAACGGAUAUCUCGGCUCUCGCAUCGAUGAAGAACGCAGCAAAAUGCGAUNCUUGGUGUGAAUUGCAGAAUCCCGUGAAUCAUCGAGUUUUUGAACGCAAGUUGCGCCCGAAGCCAUUAUGCUGAGGGCACGUCUGCCUGGGCGUCACG
rnacentral:rRNA from 1 species